UAGCUAGUUGGUGAGGUAACGGCUUACCAAGGCGACGAUCUGUAGCGGGUCUGAGAGGAUGAUCCGCCACACUGGAACUGAGACACGGUCCAGACUCCUACGGGAGGCAGCAGUGGGGAAUUUUGGACAAUGGGGGCAACCCUGAUCCAGCCAUGCCGCGUGAGUGAAGGAGGCCUUCGGGUUGUAAAGCUCUUUCGGCCGGGAAGAAAUCGCAUGGGCCAAUACCCUGUGUGGAUGACGGUACCGGAAUAAGAAGCACCGGCUAACUACGUGCCAGCAGCCGCGGUAAUACGUAGGGUGCGAGCGUUAAUCGGAAUUACUGGGCGUAAAGCGUGCGCAGGCGGUUUUGUAAGACAGGCGUGAAAUCCCCGGGCUCAACCUGGGAACUGCGUUUGUGACUGCAAGGCUAGAGUACGGCAGAGGGGGGUGGAAUUCCACGUGUAGCAGUGAAAUGCGUAGAGAUGUGGAGGAACACCAAUGGCGAAGGCAGCCCCCUGGGUCGAUACUGACGCUCAUGCACGAAAGCGUGGGUAGCAAACAGGAUUAGAUACCCUGGUAGUCCACGCCCUAAACUAUGUCAACUAGGUGUUGGGUGGGUAAAACCAUUUAGUACCGUAGCUAACGCGUGAAGUUGACCGCCUGGGGAGUACGGCCGCAAGGUUAAAACUCAAAGGAAUUGACGGGGACCCGCACAAGCGGUGGAUGAUGUGGAUUAAUUCGAUGCAACGCGAAAAACCUUACCUACCCUUGACAUGCCAGGAACUUGCCAGAGAUGGCUUGGUGCCCGAAAGGGAGCCUGGACACAGGUGCUGCAUGGCUGUCGUCAGCUCGUGUCGUGAGAUGUUGGGUUAAGUCCCGCAACGAGCGCAACCCUUGUCGUUAAUUGCCAUCAUUUAGUUGGGCACUUUAGCGAGACUGCCGGUGACAAACCGGAGGAAGGUGGGGAUGACGUCAAGUCCUCAUGGCCCUUAUGGGUAGGGCUUCACACGUCAUACAAUGGUCGGUACAGAGGGUCGCCAAGCCGCGAGGUGGAGCCAAUCCCAGAAAGCCGAUCGUAGUCCGGAUUGCAGGCUGCAACUCGCCUGCAUGAAGUCGGAAUCGCUAGUAAUCGUGGAUCAGCAUGUCACGGUGAAUACGUUCCCGGGUCUUGUACACACCGCCCGUCACACCAUGGGAGCGGGUUCCGCCAGAAGUAGGUAGCCUAACCGCAAGGAGGGCGCUUACCACGGCGGGGUUCGUGACUGGGGUGAAGUCGAAACAAGGUAGCCGUAGGGGAACCUGCGGCUG
rnacentral:rRNA from 1 species